GGCAAUGACUUUACACUCUCCGCAUCUUUUUCAAACUUAGCUGUUUUCGUAUGUCAUGUUAAGUUUACAAGAUUUCAAUACUGUCAGUUACGUUUUCCGAGUUUAUUCUAUUGCAAUACAAAGCAGACAUUUGUAUAUUCUCCUCUUUAUGUAUCGAUGUGCUUACAUUUUGCAAGUCUAUUUUAUUUCAGUUAUUUACAAUUUUUUGGUGAUGUUCGACGUAUUACCAACUACAUCGCAUUGGUAUUUCUGAAAAAAAUAGAAGAAAGAUAUACGUUACUGAUUUAAUAUUUAAUCCAAAUCACUGAUGCAAAUUAUUUCGUGCACGAUAUGAAAUCAAAACGACUUAGAUUGAACAUCCGCUACGUUAAUAUCUUUUUCAAUACAAAGUGAAAUUUCAGUCAAUCAACUAUUUAAAACAAUAUACCGAGUCUAAAAUUAAGAUCAUGUCAAAAAUACACUACGUAACCGUAGCAUCUGGUUGGCAGAACCGCCAUUAGUCUAUUUAGCUGCAAAAGACCAUCCUCGUCGAAUUAUCGCCAUUGCUCGUCUUGUCAUAACAGCAGGUCCGGCAAAAACUGUAUGUUUAUCUGGUUGUUGUUGAAAACAAUGAACAACUGUUCACAAUGUAGAAUACGGGAGUCCACGUGGAGAUAAAAGCAUACUUUAUAGAUGGUGAGGGAAGUUGGUUCUUAGAGCACGCAAUUCAUACAUGAUUCAAUAACGUCUGGCCAUGUAUGUAUACAUGUUCUGCCCUUUACUUACAUACUGCAAUACGACCAUGAACAAUUAAUGGAUUUCGUUCUUAGUCCUUGGUACAUGUAUACUCUUCAUUUAAUGUCAUGUCAGUAUGUCUCCGCUAAGGAUAUAGUGUACCCCAUCUAUUAACAGCAUAUCCAUUUUGGUUUGGUGUUUACCUGUUUCUAGAGAGUAAAUUGCAGUUUCCUUUCCUGUUGAAACGCAAGCCGUCGACAACAAGAUAAAACUGAAGAUAUAUUCGACUGCAUGAUCGCUUGUUCGACGUUGCGGUUGCUUGGCAACACGCCAUCUGAAACCAUCACCUUUUUUAAAUGUUUCAAUUAAAACUGGCCCGUUUCACCUAGGAGUCGACUUGAUGAUCAAUGUUCUGGCAAAUAGGACCAUCUCACGGAAGCAGACGAAACCCCACUGAUGGGAGAAUGGACAGGCGCUUUUUAUACUAACAGACGACAGUUAGAAAGCAUUGCAAAAUAUGAUAAAAAUGCUUCACUAGAAGAAACGUCCGGGACAUCAAUAGAUGAACAGAUUUUUUGGAGAAAUUCCUUUUGAGCACACAAGACGACUUCAAUUUUUAAACACCAUUUAAGGACAAAACAGACAGACCGUUAUCACCUAGCAGAUGAUUUAGGUCAUUGAAGAACGUUAUGGACUUUUAGUGAAAACAUAAUGAACUUUUUUUAAUCAAAAGACCCGACCAACACUAACGAUGGAAAAAUGGAAAAUAUCGGUUUACAGAAGAAUUGUAAGGACAAACUGUAAUGACACGAUAGGAGUAUUUACACCACAGUAGACGACUGAGCAACGCAGACAAUACCUUUUCAAUAAUACUGCCUAGUUCUCUUGUCCACAGCAGACGCCUGUUGAAUGUACAGUAAUUCGUUGACUUUCGCACAGCACGUUUCUCUGCAACAUAGCAGACGACGGUUAGAAGUAAAGUGACUAAGAAGACGAACAGACUGGGCCUAUUCACUUAAACAACUGCACGGUUCUCUGCGCCACAACAGCCGACUGUUGGACGUAAAGCAAUUAAUAAACGAACAGACUGGGCCUUUUCAGUAAAACGAACACAAUGUUUCUCUGCGCCACAGAAAACAAAUGUUGGACGUAAACAAUUUGAAGACGAACAGACUUGGCCUUUUCAGUUUAACAACUACAUGUAACUCGGCGCCACAGCAGACGACUGUUGGACAAAGCGAUUGAAGACGAACAGACUUGGCCUUCCCAGUUAAACAACUGCAUGUUUCUCAGCGCCACAGCACUGUGUUGGACAAGGCGAUUUCAAGACGAACAGGCUUGGCCUUUUCAGUUUAACAACUACAUGUUUCUCAGCGCUACAGCAGACGACUGUUGGACAAAACGAUUGAAGACGAACAGACUUGGCCUUCUCAGUUAAACUACAUGUUUCUCAGCUCCACAACAGAUGACUGUUGGACAAAGUGAUUGAAGAUGAACAGACGUAGCAUUUUCAUUUUAAAAACUACAUGCUUCUCUGCGACACACCAGACGACUGUAGGACAAAGUGAUUGAAGACGAACAGACUUGGCCUUUUUAGAUAAACAACUGCAGGUUUCUUUGCGCCACAACAGACGACUGUUUGACGUAAAGGGAUUUGAAGAAGAAGAAUAGGCGUUUUCAGUAAAACAAUACAAUGUUUCCCUGCGCCAUGGCAGAUAACUGUUGGAGGAACGAAAUUUAAAGACGAACAGACUUGGCCUUUUCAUAUUAACAACUACGUUUCUCUGCGCCACAGCAGACGACUGUUGGACAAAGCGAUUGAAGACGAACAGACUGGGCCUUUUCAGUAAAAAAAACACAAUGUUUCUCUGUGCCACAACAGACGACUGUAGGACAAAGUGAUUGAAGACGAACAGACUGGGCCUUUUCAGUUAAACAACCACAUGUUUCUCUGCACCACAGCAGACGACUGUUGGACAAAGCGAUUUGAAGACGAACAGACAGGGCCUUUUCAGUAAAACAACACAAUGUUUCUCUGCGCCACAGCAGACGACUGUAGGACAAAGCGAUUGAAGACGAACAGACAGGGCCACAGCAGACGACUGUUUGACGUAAAGGGAUUUGAAGAAGAAUCAUAGGCCUUUUCAGUAAAACAACACAAUGUUUCCCUGCGCCAUGGCAGAUCACUGUUGGAGGAACGAAAUUUAAAGACGAACAGACUGGGCCUUUUCAUUUUAACAACUACAUGUUUCUCUGCGCCACAGCAGACGACGGUAGGACAACGUGAUUGAAGACGAACAGACAUAGUCUUUUCAAUUAAACAACUGCAUGUUUCUCUGCGCCACAGCAGAUGACUGUUGGACGUAAAGCGAUUUGAAGACGAACAGAGUCUUUUCAGUUAAACAACUGCAUGUUUCUCUGCGCUACAGCAGACAAAUAUCGAACGUGAAGCGAUUUGAAGACACACAGACUUGGUCUUUUCAUUUUAAAAACUACAUGCUUCUCUGCGCCACAGCAGACGACUGUUGGACAAAGCGAUUUGGAGGUGAACAGACUUAGCCUUUUUAUUAUAACUGGGUGUUUGUUUGUGUCACAGUUAACGACUGUUUGGCAUGAAGUUAUUUGAAGAUGAAGUGACUGGGCCUUUUCAGUUAAAAACACUGCAUAUUUCUCUCCAAAACAGAAAUGACUGUUGGACGUAAAGCCAUGGUUCUCUUCACAACAAACUUCUUACAUUAUCUUAACCAAAAACUCAACAUGGCAGACGACAACAUAAUAAAAAUGCACUGUUGGACGAACGGACUGGUUCUUUGAAACAACGGAGACCAAAACAAGGUAACACAAAGCAGUAGAUCCGUUAAGGUCUUUACGCCAUUUCAGACGACUUCAUUACACAAAACCUAAACCGACGAAACAGACAGGUGAUCAGAUGACAACGUCACAGCAAUCCAUCACACUGGGUCUUUUCCACAAAAUAGAUGACUAUAUCAUAACCUUUAGUGAAAAGUACCAGCUUAAGUCAUUGGACGAAUUGACAGGGACUUUCAUCAAAUGCAGACGACUAAGACAUGAGAGUUCUGUUCUAUACUCUCACAGAAAGUUCAUCAUAGAAGACAACUUAUUGACAAGGACGAAUGAGAGACGAAACUGACAGGUCCUCAUCAUAAAAACAGAUGGCUUCAAAACAGAAGCAAACACUAAUAGAAGGACAAACUAGAUCUUUUAAGUCCUUUUCAUUAUAGCAGUCAAAUCAAGGACAUAAAACUGCUGACGGACAAAAGCCGACAGAUUCUUCUUAACAUAGCACUGACUAAAGGAAGAAGUGCAUUGAGGUGCUCGAUUGGUUGGAUGUUAAUCCACAAAUGGAGGAAUCGAAUUCACCUCCUCAUUAAAACUCACUGAAACUUGUUUUGUUCCAUGUGUAUGGAAGAACUUGCACUGUUGACCCAAGUGAAAUACGAGCAAUGGACACGUGACCUUUUCCUUUCAAAUAUAACCAUGACCUUACAAAAAAUGACCACAAAAAAUUCACAGCCUUGCUGCAGUUGGCAUUAUGUCGGCAUAAGUUUUGCAAGAAGAUUCAUCAAAAUUCCACGUUUUCUCCCAGAGUGAUUCAUUUUCAAAAGAAGAAAAAAAUCAGAAGAAGUUUUCAUAUGUCCUUUUCUUCUAGCAUAACUGAAACCAAUCAUUUUUGACACGAUCUUGACUUUUGACUUACAAUUACAUGAUUUUAUAUUGGUAAUGAUAAACAUGGACAUUCAAUUGCUAAGUUGCUUUCAACAAGCUUAGCUAGUAUCAUUUUAUAUAUACAUAUUACAUACUAAUUAACAUUAACAAAUACAGUGUAAUUAUUAAUGGCAAAUUAUUUCAAUGGACUUUUGACAAUAUUAUGAAAAAUGACUCUUGACCAAAAGAACAUAUUUACAUGUAGCUACAAUAAAUUUGAAAAGACAAUUACUAGACUGAAAUAAAUUGCUCUCAAAGUCACAAUAACCUCACAUGUAAAAUUAUACAUGUCAACAUUAGUUCAUGUCAGCAAUAGAUUUCAUGUCAUAACAAUCUGACAAAGAGUAGUGCACCAUGACAAGUUUCGUUACAAUACACCACAAUGACAACUAAUCUACACAAUGUUGUCUUCUUUGCGGACUCUGCAAUAUUUUGACCAUUAAUUGAACUAAAUAGACAGAUUCUUACAUAGCCAUCCUAGCUACGUUGAUCUUUUUUCAGAACCCCAACAAAGUCUCUGCUCUGGCCCAACUUCUACACCCUAUGCUAGAAUUUCCAUAUUCCCAAUUUUUACAUAUAACAGAGACUUACUCAAAAAACAACUUACAACAAAAAAUGCAUCAAUACUCAAUAGCACAACAUCAAGAAAAUGCCUUCUCUCAUCCAAUUAUGUGCAGUUAUAAUAUAAACACACACAAAGUAUAAAAAGAAUAUGUGUUGGCUUGUAAGGAAUGAAAAUGACACUUAACGUGGCAUUGUGGUAAUUAUAAGAUCAUGACAAUUGCAUCAUGACAUUAUUAAACAAUCAAAAAGCACUUCAAGCGUGGAACUGGCAUGGAAAUGGAUAGUGUUCUCAUGCUGUAUAAGCCAAAUAUGCAAUAAAAUCCAUUUUUCAUAAUUGUUUGUGAAAUUAGGCUCCAUUCCACUCUUGUGGCUGUGACUUGAGGGGAACAACCUUCAUGUCGGGUAUUACUCCUGUUCAUAACCGAUCAUGUGAUGAACAUUCCCAGCCUUCAACACAUAAAUAUGAAAACAGUCCUGUAGUAUUAAUUUUUUGAAAUGGGACAGGGAGAUUGUGCUGAAGGGGGCUAAUAAUGGGUACGAUUGAGAGAUAUCACUCCUGUAUAAUAAUGUAGACCGAAAUUUCAACCCAAGAAAAAAUAUUUAUGAGGUACAACACCAAGCUUUGCUAGGCACCUAUUCUCAAAAGAUUAAUGUCUUCACCAUACUACAGUUGCUACACAUGUGCCCCAUGAAUGAUAGUUAAUCUUCAGUUGAAUAUUAUGUCUGAAAUACCGCUAUUUUUACCAAACAGAUUUUUUUGCAAUUUUACAAAAUAUUUAUUUUCUUGUGGCUAAUAAUAGCAUCACAUCACUCACCUUGUUAAUUGGUAAUAGUUCAGAACAAUAUCCACAUAAACAUUACAAGAUAUUUAUUAUUACUGGCUCACCUGGUUUAGUUACAAGCCUUCAAUCUACCUUCCAAACCUAACACUGCAUUACCUCCCUUUUUCCUCAGAAGUUACAUUGUAUAUACUUCCCCUUUCAUUACGCCACAUCCGUGUGAAAAUUGCC